UUUGUUCCCUGAGCUAUCCAGUCAAUUGGAGAAUUGAGCACUGACUGGUUUAUUUGGCCAAAGGAUGCCGGAGAUGAAGCACGAGACAUCCGAUAAGCAACCUGGCUCUUUGCUAAGUGCUGUAUGUAUUCUACUCAUUGCAUCCUCAUAAGCAUCUUAAGAGGUGGUGGUGGUGGUAUCUGGCUCUUGCAACCUCAUGGACUAGCCCACAGGCC